CAGAGACUGCUGAGUCCAUACACACACAGACACACAGACUGCUGACCAUUCGCACACACACACACAGACUGCUGAGUCCAUACACACACACACACAGACAGACACACAGAUUGCUGAGUCCAUACACACACAGACACAAACACAGACUGCUGAGUCCAUACACACAGACACAGACUGCUGAGUCCAUACAUACACAGACUUCUGAGUCCAUACACACACACACACACACACACAGACUGCUGAGUCCUUACAC